rnacentral:rRNA from 1 species
UAUGACGAUGCUAGUAUGGUGGUGAUGAGGAGUGAGUCAUGCACACCACUGGGAGGUGAUGACACGGCGGCCCACUCCUCCUACGAGGAGGCAGCAGUGAAUAAUUUUGCAACAAUGGGAAAAAGCCUGAUCCAGCAAUCGCGUGGAGCAAGAUGAAGGCCUUGGUGGUUGUAAUCCGGUUUGGGGAGAAGAACAAGAGAGAAGGUUAUAUACCCUGGAGUCAUGACGUAUCCCGUAAGAAUAAGUCACGGGUAAUUUACGCCCAGCAGCCGCGGUUAUAGUAAGGGGUGCAAGGUUGUCUGGGAAUUAUGGGGGUAAAAGCGUGGUCGGGCUUUUUGUAAUACAGAGGUGAAUUCCCUGGGUUCACCAGGGAAGGUGCUGGGAAGCCGGCAAGGUUGGAGUCCGGCGGAGGGGGGGGGAUUUCCGGGGGAAGCAGGAAAAGGGGUGGAUUUGGGGAGGACCCCAGAUGGGGAGGGCAAUCUCUUGGCCGUCCACGGCCGCUCGGACAGGAAACCAGGGGGACCAACCAGGAUUGGAUACCGGGGUAUUCCGCCCCUUAAAGGAUGUCAACUGGUGGGGGGUUUGACCCCCUCCGUACCGCAGUUAACGCAUGAAGA